UACGAAGGGGGCUAGCGUUGCUCGGAAUUACUGGGCGUAAAGGGCGCGUAGGCGGACAGUUUAGUCAGAGGUGAAAGCCCAGGGCUCAACCUUGGAACUGCCUUUGAUACUGACUGUCUUGAGUUCGGGAGAGGUGAGUGGAAUGCCGAGUGUAGAGGUGAAAUUCGUAGAUAUUCGGAGGAACACCAGUGGCGAAGGCGGCCCACUGGCUCGACACUGACGCUGAGGUGCGAAAGCGUGGGGAGCAAACAGG
rnacentral:rRNA from 1 species